rnacentral:misc_RNA from 1 species
UCUCCUAGUUCAUAGGCCUCUUUGAG